rnacentral:rRNA from 1 species
AUGACCAGGGCUACACACGUACUACGAAUGGCCGGUACAAAGGGCAGCGACACAGCGAUAUAGAAGCCAAUCCCGAAAAGCCGGUCUCAGUCCGGAUUGGAGUCUGCAACUCGACUCCAUGAAGUUGGAAUCGCUAGUAAUCGUGGAUCAGCACGCCACGGUGAAUACGUUCCCGGGCCUU